CUUGGUUCAACUGGAGAAGUAAUAAACAGACCAGUAAGAUGAACACUAAAGAAGAUUUUUGCCAGAUGAAAGGAAUUCCAUUGGUAACAGUCAUGAACACAAAUUGACAACUGCUAUUUGAAUCGCCUUAAGUUGUAAUAUCUCUUCAUGGCAGUUGCAGAACAGAUGAAAAAGAAACUAUCAAACAGUUCAAAGAAGAAUUACAGAAAACUGAGGAAGAAAAUAAAAUGUGAUAUUGAACUUUUGAUACAAACAAAUUUUUAAAUGAUAACAGUUGCAUAUCUUGUUUAUUUUGGAUUUUCAACAUAUGUAUAUUCAUUACAGUUUUCAAUGUUUAAAACAUCAGCAAAAACAUUAAGAGCUUUUAUUAUGAAGCAAGCAAAACAAACAGCUUGACUGAUAGAAAGAGAUAGAUGUUGCAAGCUGACAAAAUGUAUUUUUAGCAUAUUUUAAAGGACCAUUUGUUUAGUCUUUUGUGUCUUAAUUCAAAUAAAAUAAUUAAAAAGAAA